AUGAAAGCGGCGGCCCCCAGGGACCCAAAGACCCACUGCAGAUUAUUUGGGUACCUGGUGGCCUACCUCUCAUCAAUUUACGGGCACAGGUCGGGGGUGCUGACCAGAAUGAGAGUGAAGGAGGUCCAGGACGCCAUCGGGGACAGUGAGAAGGGCUACCUCAUUAAUCUCAUGGAGCACAAGACCGUGAGGAAGUUUGGGGUGGCCCAGGUCUAUUUGGAGUCAGACGAGUACGGGUGGUGCAGGGAGUGGCUCUGCCUGCGGCUGCCCUCCCUGCCCCAGAACUCGUACUUUUUCACGUCCUUUGGAAGGGGGGAGCCAAAGGACCUCAUAAAGUACUUCCGUCAAGCUUGGGGGGAGAUGGGCCUCCCCGGGUCUCCAAGCUUGACGGACAUCCGUUCAGCCGUGGCCACAUACAACUUGGAGACCAACCACUCAGAGGUCCGCAGGAACAUGAGUGAAUUCAUGUGCCACGACGUCCACACUUGUGGAGCGCAUAAAAGCGCUCCACAAGACAUUGCCACGGGCCAAGCAGAUGAGGGACCUCUUCGUCUGCUUGGCCCAGCAGGAGCCUUCACCCGCUCCUGCUGGCUCCUCCUCCCCCGCUCCUGCUGGCUCCUCCUCCCCCGCUCCUGCUGGCUCCUCCUCCCCCGUUCCUGCUGGCUCCUCCUCCCCCGCUCCUGCUGGCUCCUCCUCCUCCUCCUCCACUCGUGCUGGCUCUAUUAAGAAGAGGCUAAGGCCCUCUGUGGCCCAACGGUUGGCAAGAAAGGUGAAGGAGAGAGUGGGGAUUUCUCCCCGAAAGAGCAGGAGGAGGGCAGUCAUUGUCCUGAAAAAACUAGAGUAGUUCAGUUCAGUUAUAUAUAUUUAUUAUUCGUGUUGUGUUUCAGUUCUAUAUAUUUAUUCAUGUUAUGUUUAAGUUCUUAAUAUUUAUUCAUGUUCCGUGUUUUAGUUAUAUAUAUUUAUUCAUGUUAUGUUCAAGUUCUUAAUAUUUAUUCAUGUUCCGUGUUUUAGUUAUAUAUAUAUUCAUGUUGUGUUUUAGUUAUAUAUAUAUAUAUAUGUAUUCAUGUUCCUUGUUCUGUUUCAAUAAAAAAAACAUUUGGAA
rnacentral:lncRNA from 1 species